AUUUUGCUUCGUAUGUAGUCACUUGUUAGAAUCUCUAGAAAGACUUAUAUUUAGGAACGGAGGGAGUAUUAGGCAAUUGUAAUGUUUUAUUAAGCUAUGAUCCUAAGCUCCACACUAUGGAACAUUGGAGGCUCUGUAUUUGACUUCCAUGAGCCAUUAGCCAAACUCAUUUUGUGCACUCAUUGGCCGGCUACCUAGUGACUGAAUAGUCUAGCUUGUGUUUCAUGAGAUCAACAAUUCUGGCAGAGGAUCAUUACCGAAAUGGAAAAUAUUAGUAAAUCAUCAUUUCAUCAUCUGGUAUGAUUAUCUAACAUUGAGCUGUGGCAGUUGGCAGCUUUGCAUUCAGGACAGAACUCCUCCAUCCAGAUGAUAGCAACAACGGAAGCAUCUGUCUAUAUAUUUUGAAGGAGCCGUUGUCUACUGCAUUUGACCCACAAAAUGCAAUGGUGUUUCCUCUCAAUAUGUGGACCUUGCCUUGAUUCAGUUCCGGUGCCUGCCUAGUGCCUACAGAAGAACCAACUGUACAAACAUACAUUCUGAAGCUUAAAAUGGCGUCCUACUCUGUGCCCAGUACUCUUAGGAUCGAUGCUGAGUGGAGUGGCAACUGGUUGGCGAACGCUGGUACCCAACACCCCCGACGCCGACAACACCCACUCACCGAUCCCGUCCCACUGUAUCCAGGCCUCCACGGUGCACUUCCCCAGCCCGCCUCCUGCCGUGCGCCGAGGAGUCUGAGGCUGAGCCGGCUCUCCCGUCCCUGGCCAUCUUGUUGUGCACUGCUGGGGGUGGUGAUUGCUGGUGUACGCCUGCAAGGCACCUUCCUCGCAUUCCUCCUCAACGUCCACCGCCACCGCCUGCAGCUGUGCCCUGUGCCGUUCCGCUUACUAUGAGUCGCGUCAACCUUGCCAUCUUCGACCGCGGCAUGGCCUGGGUCCACGUUGCCUGCAGCCCACACCGAGCGGCUCGUCCAUGUCUUCAGUGCGUUCCGCGCUAGCAGGCAGCAGCUGGUUCAUAAUGACUUGAUAAUCUGUCCAGGACUCCGGGAUCGGUGCUGGUAUGUAGUACCUGUUUUCACAUAAUUAACUUCCUAUGCUUUGGUUUCGGUUCAGUAUACCAAAUCCUGCUAUUAACUCAUGAAUAAACCGAAUCUUUCUGCUGCUAGCUAACAGCCUGUUCUGCAUCUACUUUUCAGUUUAGUGGUAAAUGCUUGUAUAUGUACACAACAAAUGGCCGACGCUGACGACGCGCACCAAGCCAUGGCGUCCCACCCCCUCAACGACGCGCUUGCCAUUGCCAGCCUCUUCCUGCAACGCAGAACCAGGCCACCCUCCCAUUCCUCACCGGUGUGCUGUGCCCCAAUGGGCUGGCGUGUGCUGCCACUUCCUCGAUCGAGGCCAACCGCAUCAUCUGCCUUUGGUGUGCGCGCCUGCUAGCCGCGUGCCCUGCUACUCCUCUGUAGUCCCAACUCGUACAUCGACCUUGCCAUCUUCGCCUCCGGCAGGGCAUGUGCCGGCGUAAUUUGGGGACGACGUCGAGCUUCUAUGAAUUCGGCCAAUCCACCAUGGAGCAAGUGAAGCUACGCCCUUACUGCUGUGCGACAAUAUUUCUUGUGCUUCCCAUGAAGUCAUUGCCUUGAUUCAGUUCCUAUAAUUUUUUUCUUCAGUCCAUAUAUAUAUUCUGAAAAUAUCCAAACAUAUAUUCUGAAGCUUAAAGUGGUAUCCUAUUCCGUGUCCAGCGGAGCGGCAUCCUCAAUGUCCACCACGUCCUGUGCCUCGGGUGCCGGUGCACCCCGCGGCGCGCUAGCUGCGUCCUCUGCUCCUCUGCCUACUCCCUCUCUUAGACUCCUACGACAACAGCCUGGGCCAGCAUCGACGGCACCACCUAGGCCAGCAUCGCCGGUGUACUUUGGUGCCGAUGCCGAGCAGCAGCAGCAGGCAGCAACUCCACCAUCCACGCCCUGAUGUGCUGCGCCAGCAGCACCGUAUGUCAAUUUAGCUCCUAAACGGCACGAAACAUAAAUGAAUGGCAUAAUUUAGCUCCAGCGCCAGCAGCACGCUAUGUUACUUGAUAGAC